UGGGUGGAAUCCUAUCUCUCUGACAGAUCCUUCAAGGUAUCAUGGAGCCUGACGAUCCAUCCGUCUCUGCACGCAUCUCUGCUUGCCUGUUGGACAUCUCUGUCAGGAUGAGGAAAUACCAUAUUAAGCUCAACCUUGCAAAAUCUGAGCUUCUCCUCAUCCCAGCCUGUCCCUCAAUCAACCACAACCUCACUGUACAGCUUGGCUCAACCACACUCAAGCCAACCAGGAUGGCCAGGAACCUUGGCGUGAUUCUUGACGACAGUUUGACCUUUACAGACCACAUCUGAACAACUGCACGGUCCUGUAGGUUCAUCCUGUACAACAUCAAGAAAAUCAGACCCUACCUCACCGAACAGGCUACACAGAUACAAGUCCAGGCUCUUGUUAUCUCAAAACUGGACUACUGCAACUCACUACUUUCGGGCCUCCCAGCCAGCUCCAUCAAACCCCUACAGAUGAUUCAGAAUGCUGCAGCUCGCCUCGUCUUCAACCAGCCUAAGAGAACCCAUGUCACACCCCUCUUCAUCUCCCUCCACUGGCUUCCUGUAGCUGCCCAUGUAGCCCAGGCUUAACAAUGAGAAACACUAUUUAGCUGUCUAACCAAGUCACAAAAGGGUUAACUUUGAUUUUCUUGUUGUCUUUGAUGGAUUUGUAAGUGAGCAAAUGGGUGAACUCUAUGAGGCAGUGAACUGACCAAUCAGCUGCCAGCUAGGCUCUUUUACAGUUACACCUCUAGGUUAGUGUCUCUGCACGUUCUUUUGGGGCUUGCACCUGAGCAUAGGAGGCUGCAUUAUCCACUGGGUAAGACGAAAAAACGACAUGGAGUGAAUUAAACAAGUUCUGUACUCAUUAUUGCUUAUACUUACAUAUCUUGUUGUAAUACAGAGAGUAAAAGAGAGCUGUGCCUCAAUCCACUGUUGUCACGGAGCUAAAGGCAGUGAAUUCUGCUAAAAUGGUUUUGGUAAAGAGUUGGAAACAUCGUGCGGAGAUCCUUUCCACGGAAUGAUACAGAUCCCCACGUUCCAGGCGUUCUCCCAGAGAUUCAUAGAUUCCCAGUCCGGGGGGCUGGGUGGCGAGCUAACCGUGUUUGUGACUCUGACUUUAGAAGGAUUGCCAGGAUCAUCAUCUUCAUCUUCAUGGUGGUAGCACAAACACUAACACGAACUAAAAAGGGCCCAACGUUGGUGACUGAACUCUUGUCAGCAAAGGCAAGUGAAACUGAGGACGCACUAAGCUCAAGGGAAUUUAAAAGGGGAUUUAUUUACGUGCGCACUUUAUUAUUUUAGUUUGUUAUUUUUUUCAUAACUGUUUUUGUAUAUGUAUGUACCAGCCCAUGUGUGUUUAAUACAUUUUAUGCAAAUUGUCAUUCUGAUGUGGUAUUCUUUUUAUUGACCUUCAAUUCUCAGGCUCUUAACAAUGUAGCAUCUUCUGAUUCUGGUCCAUAUUCAUAUUACUGAUAACCUCUAAGACUACUUUAG
ensembl:lncRNA